CAAGGAAGGCAGCAGGCGCGCAAAUUACCCACUCCCGGCACGGGGAGGUAGUGACGAAAAAUAACGAUACGGGACUCUUUUGAGACCCCGUAAUCGGAAUGAGAACGGUCCAAAAACUCUAGCGAGGACCCAUUGGAGGGCAAGCCUGGUGCCAGCAGCCGCGGUAACUCCAGCUCCAAUAGCGUAUAUUAAAGUUGUUGCGGUUAAAAAGCUCGUAGUUGGAUCUCAGUUCCGGUCGGGGGAUCCGUCUUCCGACGGCCAUCUCCCGGACCGAACAGCCGGCCGGUCUCCCUCGAUGAUCUUCAUCGGUUGUCUCGGGUUGACCGGCGAGUUUACUUUGAAAAAAUUAGAGUGCUCAAAGCAGGCUCCAGAAGCCUGGAUAAUGGUGCAUGGAAUAAUGGAAUAGGACCUCGGUUCUAUUUUGUUGGUUUUAGGAUCACGAGGUAAUGAUUAAGAGGGACAGACGGGGGCAUUCGUAUUGCGGCGCUAGAGGUGAAAUUCUUGGACCGCCGCAAGACGAACGACAGCGAAAGCAUUUGCCAAGAAUGUUUCCAUUAAUCAAGAACGAAAGUCAGAGGCUCGAAGGCGAUCAGAUACCGCCCUAGUUCUGACCAUAAACGAUGCCAGCCAGCGAUCCGGCUGCGUUCCUCAAAUGACGCGCCGGGCAGCUUCCGGGAAACCAAAGCUUUUGGGUUCCGGGGGAAGU
rnacentral:rRNA from 1 species